CAGUGGCGUGGCGACCCCCCCCCCCCGCCACACCCCACGGGGGUGGCGGGGACCGAGGCGGGAGUCCUUGAGGAGGGGACGCCCUCCCCGCGAGGCCCCGACCGCCCCCGAACCGAGGCGGACGGGCGCCCCAAAGGGUCUUUAAACCUCCGCGCGGACCUGCGCUAGGGUACUCUGGACAGAGGGUGGGGGGGGACGAGGCGAGGCGGGGCGCGGGUGAGCGAGGCCAAAGGCCGCCGCCGCCCCGAGGCGAUCCUCCCCCCCGGCCGGCCCGCGGCCGACACCGCCAAGCGAGGGGCGCGAGCCCCCCGACGCUCCGCCCGUGACGGACAGGGCCCGGCGGGCGCCGCGACGCGGCCCGCCACCGCCCCGGACCGCCAGGCCUCCCUCUCUCUCCCCGGUCUCCCCCGCCCCCACAAGCCAUCGGGGCGGGGGCCGGCCGGAUCCCCUCGCUUCCGAGGAACACCCCGGAGCCACCACCCUCGCCUCGCCUUAGGCGGAAACACCCGGCCGGCCGACCCCGGCCCUCCCUCCCACACCGCGACCGGGACCCCGCCUCGCACGGAGGGCGGGGGGGGGCCCGCCGCGCGGAGCGGGGCGUGAGCGGGCAGGGCCAGGGUAGGGGGGCGGCGGGGGCGUGCGACACGGAGAAGGGGACGAGCCGGAACUGGGCCCCGCGGCCCAGAGGCGGGGGGCGGUGGGCCGGGGGGGGAGGGAGAGGCGACGAGCGGGAGGGCGGAGAUGGCGCGGCACGGCCCGCCUGACCGGAGGACCGUCCCGGGCGGGCUGGCGGGUAGGCGCGCGCCGGGCGGGCGGGAGCCCCCCGCGCGAGCGACGCUCCCCCCCCCCGCAGGAGGAGGACGACGGACGACACGCGGCGGGCGGCCCACCGCCGCCGCGUCGCACGCGUCCCGAGACGCGCCCGAGGGCACCCCCGUGCGGGGCGACGCCGGCGACCGGGGAACGACCGGCGCCGGAAGGCGAAAGGCGGGCCGCGGAAGGGAGGGGGGCCCCGGAGGGGCAGGGGGACGAGCCGCCGCCGCCGCCGCCGAGGGGGCGGCGAGUGGACGACCCGGCGGCAGCCCCAGGCGAGCGGGCAAGACGGAGGAGGCGGACCCCCCCCGGAAGGGACACGGUGGGGGGGGGCCGGGACGGCGACGUCCGAGAAAGGGAGGCGGGCGCGGGGCCCGUCUCCCCCCCCACGACACGCCGUCGUCGCCGACGACACCCCCCCUCCCUUCCCCUCCGGGCGGGCGCCCGACCGACCGACGCCAGGCCCGCCCCACCGCCACCGCCGCGCUUCCACCUCCACCGCGCCUCCCGGCGGCGGGCGCGGGCCCCUUCCUUCCCCCUGCCCCUCCUCACGCGGCCCCCGUCCUCGCCCCCGGACGGACACGCACACACGCGCUCCCUCCUCUCUCACGUCCCUCGCGGCCAGCGGGCCGGCACCGCGCCGGCCCGCCCGCAACCGCACGGGGAAGGCUUCGCGGGCGAAGCGGACGGACGGAAGGACGGGGCGCCUCCGCCGCCGCCCGCCGCCGCGUUCCUCCGUUAAUGAUCCUUCCGCAGGUUCACCUACGGAAACCUUGUUUACGACUUUUACUUCCUCUAGAUAGUCAAGUUCGACCGUCUUCUCAGCACUCCGCCCAGGGCCCGUGGGCCAAACCCCGGCGGGGCCGAUCCGAGGGCCUCACUAAACCAUCCAAUCGGUAGUAGCGACGGGCGGUGUGUACAAAGGGCAGGGACUUAAUCAACGCAACCCUUAUGACCCGCACUUACUGGGAAUUCCUCGUUCAUGGGGAAUAAUUGCAAUCCCCGAUCCCCAUCACGAAUGGGGUUCAACGGGUUACCCGCGCCUGCCGGCGUAGGGUAGGCACACGCUGAGCCAGUCAGUGUAGCGCGCGUGCAGCCCCGGACAUCUAAGGGCAUCACAGACCUGUUAUUGCUCAAUCUCGGGUGGCUGAACGCCACUUGUCCCUCUAAGAAGUUGGGGGACGCCGACCGCUCGGGGGUCGCGUAACUAGUUAGCAUGCCAGAGUCUCGUUCGUUUAUCGGAAUUAACCAACAAAUCGCUCCACCAACUAAGAACGGCCAUGCACCACCACCCACGGAAUCGAGAAAGAGCUAUCAAUCUGUCAAUCCUGUCCGUGUCCGGGCCGGGUGAGGUUUCCCGUGUUGAGUCAAAUUAAGCCGCAGGCUCCACUCCUGGUGGUGCCCUUCCGUCAAUUCCUUUAAGUUUCAGCUUUGCAACCAUACUCCCCCCGGAACCCAAAGACUUUGGUUUCCCGGAAGCUGCCCGGCGGGUCAUGGGAAUAACGCCCGCCGCAUCGCCAGUCGGCAUCGUUUAUGGUCGGAACUACGACGGUAUCUGAUCGUCUUUCGAACCUCCGACUUUCUUUUCUUGAUUAAUGAAAACAUUCUUGGCAAAUGCUUUCGCUCUGGUCCGUCUUGCGCCGGUUCCAAGAAUUUCACCUCUAGCGGCGCAAUACGAAUGCCCCCGGCCGUCCCUCUUAAUCAUGGCCUCAUUUUUCCGAAAACCAACAAAAUAGAACCGCGGUCCUAUUCCAUUAUUCCUAGCUGCGGUAUCCAGGCGGCUCGGGCCUGCUUUGAACACUCUAAUUUUUUCAAAGUAAACGCUUCGGGCCCCCGCGGGACACUCAGCUAAGAGCAUCGAGGGGGCGCCGAGAGGCAAGGGGCGGGGACGGGCGGUGGCUCGCCCCCGCGGCGGACCGCCCGCCCGCUCCCAAGAUCCAACUACGAGCUUUUUUAACUGCAGCAACUUUAAUAUACGCUAUUGGAGCUGGAAUUACCGCGGCUCCCUGGCACCAGACUUGCCCUCCAAUGGAUCCUCGUUAAAGGAUUUAAAGUGGACUCAUUCCAAUUACAGGGCCUCGAAAGAGUCCUGUAUUGUUAUUUUUCGUCACACUACCUCCCCGGGUCGGGAGUGGGUAAUUUGCGCGCCUGCUGCCUUCCUUGGAUGUGGUAGCCGUUCUCAGGCUCCCUCUCCGGAAAACGAACCCUGAUUCCCCGUCACCCGUGGUCACCAUGGUAGGCACGGCGACUACCAUCGAAAGUUGAUAGGGCAGACGUUCGAAUGGGUCGUCGCCGCCACGGGGGGGGUGCGAUCGGCCCGAGGUUAUCUAGAGUCACCAAAGCCGCCGGCGCCCGCCCCCCCGGCCGGGGCCGGAGGGGGGCUGACCGGGUUGGUUUUGAUCUGAUAAAUGCACGCAUCCCCCCCGCGAGGGGGGUCAGCGCCCGUCGGCAUGUAUUAGCUCUAGAAUUACCACAGUUAUCCAAGUAGGAGAGGAGCGAGCGACCAAAGGAACCAUAACUGAUUUAAUGAGCCAUUCGCAGUUUCACUGUACCGGCCGUGCGUACUUAGACAUGCAUGGCUUAAUCUUUGAGACAAGCAUAUGCUACUGGCAGGAUCAACCAGGUAGGAGCGCGGGUGAGCCAGAGACCGCGCGGCGCGCGCGCGCGCGCCCCCCUCCCCCGCCCGCCCCAACCCCACCCCCCACCGGGAGGCAGGGAGGGAGAAGGGAGGGAGGGAGGGAGCGAGCGAGCGAGCGCCGGGGGGCUCGCGGCGGGUGGGCCGGACGUGCCGGGCGCGGGGGAGCGCACGCGGCAGAGGCGGUGGCGGCGGCGAGCCCGCGCUAAACCGACCGACCGACCGAGCGGCCGGUCCCGCCCCACGGACCGGGGCGGCGCGCAAAAACCUCGCGGCGGCGGCGCGGGGAGACGAGGGCGCUUCACCCGCCACCCUCUCCCCCUCCGGACGGCCCCGAUGGCGGCGGCGGCGCGGCCCCCCGGGCGGGGGACGGGGACGCCCGGCGGUCGCGCCGGGGGCCGGCAGCGGGCCGAGCACGCGCUCACGCGGGACGGAGGCGGGGCGCCGGGCCGAGCCCGAACCCCUCCCCGCCACCGGGGAGACGCGCGCGGGGCCGCGGACGGCCAACGGCGAGCGGCCGCCGGGGACCCGACCCACGCCCGGGGCACGCGCGCGCCAGGGCGGGGACGCGGCCGGCGGGGUGGGGGGCGGCGGGAGACGACGGCGGCCCCCUCGUCACCACACAACGCCAACCGCCGGGGGGCGGGGGCGAGCGGCGGACGCGGGCGGGAAGGCCGCAGCGGGCCCGGGAAGCGCCGGGCGCCCCGGGGAGCGCGGCACCGGGUCGGCAAGACGGACGACGGACGGGGGCGGCUUUCGGGAAAGGCCGCGGACGGGAGACGCCCCGGCGGCCAGGGGCCAGCCAGGCGCCGGAGAACGGCGAGCGGGGGCGGUGGAGGAGAGGAACCGCGGGCCACCGCGAGGGGCUUUCGGGAAGCCUCAGAAGGCACCCGGGAGGCCGAGGUCGGGCGCCCAGGGGGGGCACGCGGGGUCCCACCGCCCGAGGCCUCCAGCGCAAGGGCGGUCCCCGCGGCACCCGAGGACGCCGGCCCGGCCCCCCCCGGCGGGCCCCAAGCAACCUCGCGGGGCUCGGGGGCCCCCAACCGCCACCGUUCACGCGACCGGUUUCUCCCGAGAACGCUCUCCCGCACACGCGCAACGACGCCCCCGCCCCAACACCCCCCCGCGCGCCUCCCUCCUCCCCUUCCUCGGAGGACCGAGAGCACUUCGCCCGGGGACGCCCCCCCCGAGCCACGGCGGCCAAGGGGGGGGCAAGACACCCAACAGCGGCGAGGCCGGUUUUUGGUCCACGGAGGGCGGAGUUAGGGGCGCGGCACGCGCGGCGCCCCCGCGACCGUGCGGUCGGGGGGGCGCGGGCAGGCGGGGGGGCGGGGGGGGGCGGGUCGGCGGCGACGGGGAGGAGGCGCACAGCGGGCGAGGGCCCCGGGAAGAGCGCGUGGGGAAGGGCCGGUCCCGGGAAGGGCGCGCCAACGAAGGCGCGAGCCGGGCCACCGGGUAAACGCGCACGGGAUCCCACCGCCACCACACGAGGGCGGUCCCGCGACGCCCGGGACGCCGGCCGGCCUCAGCACCCUUGGCAGGCCUCCCCGCAAACCGGGCCCCACACCGCCCGGGCCCAGGCACGCGCGACCCCCGCCGCGGGGGUCCCGUCCGAAACCUCCGUCCGUCCAUCCGCCCGUCCGUCCAUCCGUCCGGUCCAACCCGGAGUCACGACCCGGGGAGGCGCCCCCAGGCGGGAGCUGGCCCGACCCACACGCGCCCGCCGAGCCCACCGCCGGCGGCGACUCGGCUCGGGAGCGGGCGGCGGCCCAGACAGCCAGCCGGCCGCUAGCGCGGCACACACGCACACACACGGGGUGAGUGGCGUGGGGGGGGGGGGGCGCGGGCCGCCCCAACCCCCCGGCCGCCCCGCACGCUCGCACACGCACGCGGGCAACACACCCCGCACCGGACGCCGGCCCGGCCCCGGCGGGAUCCUCCCCCCCGUCUCGGAGGGGGGAGGCGCAGGCCGCGGUAGGUAGGCAAAGAGCGGCACUCUGCCCAAACACGUCGCGACGGGAGUCCAACCCCGCGUCGCUGGCCACACUACAACGCGCAGAGGAGGGGCAGCGGCUGGGGGCUCCGGUACCCCCAAGGCACCCUCUCGGAUCGCUAGAGAAGGCUUUCUCACCGAGGGCGCAUCCCCCCCACCCUUUCGUCCCCCCAAAGGGGCCCACCAGGCGGCGCUCCGGGGCCACGGGCUCGCGGGGCGGGGGCGGACUCCGGAAAGGGGAAGGCACAGGGCCCCCCGAGCGCUCCGGCCCGGUGCCCCCUCGAGGACGCCACCCCGCCUCCCCCGCGCCGGCGUGGUCACGUCCCCCCAGAGGAGAGAGCUCCCCGCCUCCCGCAGGCGGGCGAGAGAGAGGACGGAGACGGGGACACGACCCGUGCCGGGAGAGAGGGGCGCCCCUGGGGCUGGCCAAGCGCCGCGGCGCGGCCCGCCCGCCGCGGGCGCUCACGAGCCCCGCCA
rnacentral:lncRNA from 1 species